CCUGGUGGCUCAGCUGGUAAAGAAUCUGCCUGCAAUGCAGGAGACCUGGGUUCGAUCCCUGCGUCAGGG
rnacentral:tRNA from 1 species